rnacentral:lncRNA from 1 species
CAGAUACUUGGGCUCACUUGCGCUAUGAACGAGAUAAAAUAUCCCGAAGGAGAUCACAGAGAGAAACUCUCUCUACCUUGUCUUACAGAAUACAACAGUAAUCCUAUGAACAGAUUUUGAAGAAGAAAGAAAUAAAUUGCUGCUCAAGUUUUUCUAUUUUCUAUUUUCCUCUUCUUGUGAUAUGAUCAACAGAACCUUCCUCUCAUACAAGAAUAAAAACUGUUAAACAAAGACUCAAUCAAACAGAAGAGGUCACCUGUCUGGGUUCCUUCUUAACCGAAGAAAAUGCCACCCCAGCCCUUCUGCACGAAUUAUUCUCCCACCUUUUGUCGUCAGGACAAAAAUUCCUCGACAUCUUCUGAUAACCGCAUUGUCCAAACAGCAAAGAGUAAUUCUAUUUAUCUCCAUUACAAUUAAUCACCAGCUGUCUAUGUGGCAAGUGACAUGUUAUUAAAUGAAAAGACAAAUUUUAAAUGUAUGGAUAUGAAAUAAUCAUUUUUGCCACAUCAUAUGAAGGUCAUCUCUAAUGGAGAUAAAUAACAUUAUUCAGCAACAUAAGAGUGCCUUUGGACACAGGGAAACAUCUGAAGGUGCCUACUCCUUUUUACAAGGAAAUUCCUUGCCUUAAGCAGAACUUCCUUCGUAACUUCCAUGAAAAAGGGAGAAUUUUGAAAACUAAUAGAGAAUAUCGUAAUCUGAUAGCAGAAGCAUGAUCACAUGGCAACUCAUGCAUUAGCAGCUGGGG